UGGAGGGAUUGAGGGGAGGGAUGUCAUAAAUGAGCUCUUUUUAGGUUGCUAAUUUUUUUUCCUUGUAUUUUCAACACAGAGAAAUUAAUGAAUUCUUCAUGGAAGGUGCUUUAUGGACAACUGUUUUUAUCUUCACAAGUCCUUGAGAAACAGCAGUGGAUUCACCCACCUUACUUCACCCCUAGGCUGGUCCCCUGCAUGUGUCCUCACAUCAGGAGCUCUGUUUGAUUGCUCUCCUUUUCUGUUGAGAACAUCCACGUUGAGUGUUUGCUUGCUUCACAGCCUUGGGAUCCAGCAAACCUCUGUGUGAACCCUCUAGAGCUCGACUGCACUGAUCAGAAAAGAGAAGACCCAGCAGUUCCCCAGCCCCAAGCCAUGCUGAAUUUGCUACAGGUUGCCUAUUCCAGGGCACUCAGGAAUAAUAUAACUGCUGCAAGGCUAUCCUUGCCUGGAUCCUGGAAUAGACAUAGGUAUCAUUUCAUGGUAGCAAAAUCCCUCAGAUGGGGCGCCUCCAGCUGAGGCAAAUGCAGUUUUUCUACGAUACCGUCACAGGAAAUGGCAUUCAGAAGGAAGUUAAAAAAGGAGGUCAACAAAGGAGCACAGUCUGGAUUUCUCACAACAUGAGAAAAUUAAAGCUGAUAGAUUGUAUGAUGAAGUCCAUGCUUCUGUCACUGUUCAGUUUGUGGAUGAGAAAUGAAAGGCACUAA
rnacentral:lncRNA from 1 species